CCUACGGGAGGCAGCAGUGGGGGAUAUUGCACAAUGGGGGGAACCCUGAUGCAGCGACGCCGCGUGGGCGAUGGAGUGCUUCGGCAUGUAAAGCCCUAUCAGCAGGGAAGAAAAUGACGGUACCUGACUAAGAAGCCCCGGCUAAAUACGUGCCAGCAGCCGCGGUAAUACGUAUGGGGCAAGCGUUAUCCGGAUUUACUGGGUGUAAAGGGAGCGUAGACGGCAGCGCAAGUCUGGAGUGAAAUGCCGGGGCCCAACCCCGGAACUGCUUUGGAGACUGUGCAGCUCGAGUGCAGGAGAGGUAA
rnacentral:rRNA from 1 species